CGUGGGACAGCCCAAAAAGGAAAACGUGUCAAGAUUCGUGGAACGGAGGGAGUACUAGUGAGUAGUGAGUUGAUCCAAAUCCAUAAAACUAUGAGUCGGCGGCGAUGCCAAUGGUUUUUAUCCUGUGAUAAUGCGGUGUAUGUAGGUAAAUACGCUCUACCUGAAUACACACGUGUUGAAUAUGUAGCUGCGUGAAUGCUCUAGCUUCUUCUCUUAUUAUUAUUUUUUUGUUUUUUUUUUUUUUUUACCGUAAAGUGGAAGAGAAUAGCGAUAGGGAGUGGGAGCGGCAAAAACUGCCGCUGCGAGCGACCACAAGCAAUCGACAGGUGUUUGGGCCCUCUCUUCUCUUGAAUUAGACGUGGAUGCUGAAUAGUCAGUCAUCCCCUCCUUCCUUCCAAGUCCAAUUGGAUUCCACUUCCUUUCCUUGCUAAUUAGAUAACUUUAUCCCAUUCCCAGAUUCGCUUUCCUCCACAAAUAUCUCUCAAUGCCGCUUCAUUUCCAGACCUAAUUUUUGUGUUCAAUGGGGAGGAGGAAGCUCGAGAUUAAGCGAAUCGAAGAUAAGAGCUCGCGCCAGGUUACCUUCUCCAAGCGCCGCAAUGGAUUGCUCAAGAAAGCUAAAGAGCUAUCGGUGCUCUGCGAUCUGGAUAUCGGCGCCAUAAUCUAUUCCUGCCGAGGCAAGCUCUACCACUACUGCAGCACCAACAGGUUAAUUUUUUUUAUAUAUAAUUAAAUUCCCAUUGCAAUGUAAGCUGAGGUUGGCCCAAGUUGCUGAUUUCCCAAAAUAGAAGUCUCGGAGCUUAAUUUAGCAUAAAGGUGUCGCCUUCCAAUUUCCAUCCCUUUCUUCCCCUAAAAACCUCGUGCUACGUCGUAUCGCUCAACUUUAUCCAUCUACNUAUUUAUACUUAUUCUCAUUAUAUACAUUCUCAAAUGUGUUAAUGGUGCGGAAUAUGCGAAAUGGAUAGUGAAAAUCAAAUGUUAGCCACCAAUUUAAUUGAGUUCAAAAAUUUUUGUAGGCCACUAAGUUAGGGCACUUUGCAAAGUUAGGCUACAUUUUUUCGGGCUUUCAAAUUUGGGCAAUUUAUUAUUAAUUUCGGCAUAAGUGAGCCAUAUUAUAGCCCGAUCGGACCCAAAUGUGACUCAUUUACGCCGAAAUUAAUAAUAAAUGAUCCAAAUUUGCAAAUCCAAAAAAAUGUGACUUAAUUUUAUAAAGCGCCCUAAGUUAGUGGCCUGCAAAAAUUUUGAACUCGAACAAACUAUAGCCAGCUUGAUUCAUUCGUUUGAGUUAAAUGAAAUGUACGAAACAAAUUUUAAAAAUGAACAAACAUUUUGGUUCAACCCAAAAUUAUAAUUUAAUUAUCUAAAUUUGUGAAAGAUUAAUGACUUUUGACUCUGUCGUUAGAGUUGGUGAAAUGCAAUUACUAGAAAUUGAAUGCACAUCAAUACAAGAAUGAACCACAUGCAUGAUCAGAUGGCCGAUUAAUUAUUCUUUCAUUUUUAUCAAUUUAAUUAGUCUCGUAAUAAAUUAGGCUAGCUAGCAUCGUAACCUUUGAAUAUACUUAACACUGUAUAUUAUUGAUAAGGUUACAUUUUUAUGACCAUAUGAUAAUGAUAUUGGGCAUACAAAUUAAAGAGUACAUAAUAAGUCAUGAUAAAGCAGAUGGUCACACAAUUAAGAUUAUACUAUCAAUAAAGCGUAGAUUUAGCUAGGGUUGAGUAUGUAAAUGGAUUGCUAAUAUCGCUAUGAAAUUAGUAGAAAAAGAUUAUGAGAGAUUUUAAAAAAUGGAGGCGACAAGAGAUUUUGGAAAUAAAUUAUUCAAGACAUCCUGCCAUUUUGAAAGCAACAAUUCAAUAACAUAGGCCAGAUGCUCUUUUUUAUUUAUUUAAGUGUCUGCUUUGAAUUUGGAGCAUCGAAAUGGCGUGCAAAUCGUCUUUUACCAAUAAGGAUGCGUUUUCUUUGGUUGUAAAUUUAUCAUGGGAAAAAGAAGGAAAAAUAAAAUUUCACCCUUUAAAUCAAUCAUUUUUNUUCUCAUAUUUUUUAUUUGACCCUUACUCAUUCCUCAUUUACACUAUAAAGAAGAGAUAAUAUCCUUUAAAAAUAGUGUGAUAAUAUUAUCUCUCCUUUGUAGUAUAAAUGAGGAACAAAUAAGGGUCAAGUAGGAAAUAUCAUAUGGGAAAAGAAAGGAAGGAUUUAAAGGGUGAAAUUUUGUUUAUCUUUUAUUUUCUCAUGAUAAAUUUACAACCAAAGAGAACACAUCUAAUGGUAACAAUCUUAUUCACUCAUUUAAUUUUAAAUUCGUCGGAACACUGCACAAGUAUUAGGUUGAGUAUGCAAUCAAAUAUUUCUAAAUUGGAUAAUUAGUAAAACAAGAAUUUCCAAAGAUAUACUAUAUUAUCCAUGACCCUAACAAAUUUAGGAAUUUGAAAGUUAUUUUUUGAGUUUGAUUCUAAUGCUAUAUUUUGUAUAAUCCCCUUGUAUAAGAAUGACGAAUGUGCAAAAUCCCCCCUCCGCCCAAAAGCCGCCGAACCAACCUACGAAAAUAUCCGGAUAAAUUGGGUUUUGUCGUUUUGUGGAGAUUUUCCCAAAUCAAAAUUAUGAUCAUAGUUAAAUACUGAACUGACCUAUCAAAGAUUAUAAUUGUAACAAUUAAAUCAUUAAAUUGACCAAACCUAAAUGAUACACUAUAAAUAUAAUUUAUGAACAUCCUGAUUUUUUUUAAAAAUUAAAUUAAAUGUGUAUGGACCACAUGAAGUUCUCAUGCGUCCCAUCCCAUUCAUGGCAUGAUCGAAGCUUGAAUGCUAGCUGCUGACACAAACCUAACACUAACACUAUUUGAGAUUUGCUAUCAUUUUUACUACUAGUGAGUAGUGAAUUGAUCCAAAUCCAUAAAACUAUGAGUCGGCGGCGAUGCCAAUGGUUUUUAUCCUGUGAUAAUGCGGUGUAUGUAGGUAAAUACGCUCUACCUGAAUACACACGUGUUGAAUAUGUAGCUGCAUGAAUAUUGAAUGCUCUAGCUUCUUCUCUUAUUAUUUUUUUUUUGGUUUUUACCGUAAAGUGGAAGAGAAUAGCGAUAGGGAGUGGGAGCGGCAAAAACUGCCGCUGCGAGCGACCACAAGCAAUCGACAGGUGUUUGGGCCCUCUCUUCUCUUGAAUUAGACGUGGAUGCUGAAUAGUCAGUCAUCCCCUCCUUCCUUCCAAGUCCAAUUGGAUUCCACUUCCUUUCCUUGCUAAUUAGAUAACUUUAUCCCAUUCCCAGAUUCGCUUUCCUCCACAAAUAUCUCUCAAUGCCGCUUCAUUUCCAGACCUAAUUUUUGUGUUCAAUGGGGAGGAGGAAGCUCGAGAUUAAGCGAAUCGAAGAUAAGAGCUCGCGCCAGGUUACCUUCUCCAAGCGCCGCAAUGGAUUGCUCAAGAAAGCUAAAGAGCUAUCGGUGCUCUGCGAUCUGGAUAUCGGCG
rnacentral:lncRNA from 1 species